GACGAACGCUGGCGGCGUGCUUAACACAUGCAAGUCGAACGGAAAGGCCCUGCUUUUGUGGGGUGCUCGAGUGGCGAACGGGUGAGUAACACGUGAGUAAACUGCCCUUGACUUUGGGAUAACUUCAGGAAACAGGGGCUAAUACCGGAUAGGAGCUCCUGCUGCAUGGGGGGGGUUGGAAAGUUUCGGCGGUUGGGGCUGGUCUCGCGGGUUAUCAGCUUGUUGGUGGGGUAGUGGCUUACCAAGGCUUUGACGGGUAGCCGGCCUGAGAGGGUGACCGGCCACAUUGGGACUGAGAUACGGCGCAGACUCCUACGGGAGGCAGCAGUGGGGAAUAUUGCACAAUGGGCGGAAGCCUGAUGCAGCAACGCCGCGUGCGGGAUGACGGCCUUCGGGUGGUAAACCGCUUUCGCCUGUGACGAAGCGUGAGUGACGGUAAUGGGUAAAGAAGCACCGGCUAACUACGUG
rnacentral:rRNA from 1 species